AUGAACGCUGGCGGCGUGCCUAAUACAUGCAAGUCGAGCGAACGGACGAGAAGCUUGCUUCUCUGAUGUUAGCGGCGGACGGGUGAGUAACACGUGGAUAACCUACCUAUAAGACUGGGAUAACUUCGGGAAACCGGAGCUAAUACCGGAUAAUAUUUUGAACCGCCUGGUUCAAAAGUGAAAGACGGUCUUGCUGUCACUUAUAGAUGGAUCCGCGCUGCAUUAGCUAGUUGGUAAGGUAACGGCUUACCAAGGCAACGAUGCAUAGCCGACCUGAGAGGGUGAUAGGCCACACUGGAACUGAGACACGGUCCAGACUCCUACGGGAGGCAGCAGUAGGGAAUCUUCCGCAAUGGGCGAAAGCCUGACGGAGCAACGCCGCGUGAGUGAUGAAGGUCUUCGGAUCGUAAAACUCUGUUAUUAGGGAAGAACAUAUGUGUAAGUAACUGUGCACAUCUUGACGGUACCUAAUCAGAAAGCCACGGCUAACUACGUG
rnacentral:rRNA from 1 species